GCCGCAGCUACAGCGUUGGUGCAGGAACAAUUAGCUGCCGGACACAUAGAGCCCUCUACUUCACCAUGGAACACCCCCAUUUUCAUCAUUCAAAAAAGGACUGGCAAAUGGCAGCUGCUACAAGACUUACGGGCUGUUAACCAAACAAUGGUUCCCAUGGGAACACUCCAGCCUGGUUUGCCUUCACCCAUAGCUAUCCCCAGAGGCUACUAUAAAAUAGUCAUUGACCUGAAAGACUGCUUUUUCUCCAUACCAUUGCACCCAGAUGACUGCAAACGCUUCUAUAGGACCCUCUCCGAGCUUCCAAUGCAGCAUGGCUUAACAGAAAAACCACGGACUUGAAGAAGUAAGUUUGGAUUUGAACCCCAGCUCUACUAACUUAAAAGUUAUGUGACCUUGGUCUCUCACUCUUCCUUACCUGGAUAUCACUGCCACAGGCACAAAUGGACAGGGCACAGGAUGAAUUCAGCUCACAGUGGUGCUAAACUUUCAUUUUAAGAAUGGACUGCCUUUCUAAAAUGAAUAUAAACCAUUCAGGAAAGAAGUUUGAUCAAACAAUGGGGAAAUACACACGAUCUCAAGAAUUUUCUAAAUAACUAGAGAUACUGCCAUUAGUUAUUAUUUUUAAAUAAAUGCCUUCAUAAUCAUCUUCUAAAGCAUCUUCUCAAACCAAAGAAAGCAUAUGACAAUAUCAGCUGGGUUCACCACUCGAUUUCAGGAAGAAAACUCCAUGUUUAAGGAAGAGAAGCCAACAUUAAUUAAUUCAGGUACAGGUUAUUAUCAUCCAGAUAAUUUAAAAAACUAUCAAAAUCAUGCAAUAAGAAUUAAGGCCGCAGUCAGUAACUAACUAGAGUUUACUACAAUUAAGUCUUACAGUAUACUUAAAGUAUACUCAGCUGUUAAUCCUAAAGACUAUUCCUACAAGGUAUACACUAUACAUGUAUGGACACUUGUUUGUUUUCUAUAUUCACAAACUCACCAUACUGUUUUAGGUGGUCAUUAGUGAAACUGCUGUCCCAUAAAUGAAGUAUAUAUUUUAAAAUGUUACUUUGUUACUAAGUCACCUUGAACCCACUUCUCAAUUAAAAUAUUUCUGAAAGCCUAAGCACUACAAAUAAUAUAGAAAUAAAUAAAACAUUGUCCCUGACCUCAAGAAAUUCACCAAAACAUAUAAAGGAGGCAUAAGAGGUGACAUAUCACAAAAAAAGCCUUUCAGGAAAACAAGUACCUAUAAAUUGCUCUGUGCAACAGAAAUGUACUUUCUUGGUCACAUUCGACAUAUCUUAAGUGUUCAAUAACCACAUGUGCUUUACUAUAUUGAACUGUGCUGCUUAGAUAAAUUCAGAGGAUUCCUGUUUACAUAUAUUUAAAAAAAAGUUUCAUAAGAUUACUAGCUUUUGAAAAAGUAUACUAAAGGCCAAAAAGAAACUGAAUAUGUAGAAGGGUGAAUUCAUCGGCAUUGUUUUUAAGAAACAAUUAGUAAUAUAGCCUGGCUAGAGGUAUGGGGUAUGGGAGGAAACCCACACUUUGAAGUUAAAGUUGAAGUCUGAAUUUUAUGCUACAUCUUUUAGUAAAACCUGGUCAAAGAAUUGACAAGAUUAAAGUAAAUAAUGAAAAUAUAAGUAAAUGAAAAGACAAUGGCUAACAUAUAGCAGAUGUUCAGAAACUGAAAGAAGGGGGAAGGCAGGGGGAACAGAGAGAGAAAAAGGAUGAAGGGGACUUAAAGGGGUGCUGAGAAGAAGACAUGAAGGAGAACAGAGCUAGGUGCUGGCUCUUACUUUUGUUCACUAAAGUAGACCAAUAUUAGCUCUAAGACCCUAAUGAAAUGUUAUGGUUAAGCCUUAAAAUGAUCUACUGAUGCUGGCAAAUGUUUUUAAAAUACUGUGCUCUAGAAUACAUAGAUUAGUAAUCAGUAAUUAAGUCAUAAAGUAGCUUUCAUUCUAGUAAAGGUGUUCAUAAUUAAU